UACGUAGGGGGCAAGCGUUGUCCGGAUUUAUUGGGCGUAAAGCGCUCGUAGGCGGUUCAUUGCGUCGUGCGUGAAAGACCCCGGCUCAAUUGGGGAGGGUCGUGCGAAACGGGUGAACUAGAGGCCAGUAGGGGGAUGUGGAAUUCCGGGUGUAGUGGUGGAAUGCGUAGAGAUCCGGAGGAACACCAGCGGCGAAGGCGGCAUCCUGGACUGGUCCUGACACUCAGGAGCGAAAGCGUGGGGAGCGAUCCGG
rnacentral:rRNA from 1 species